rnacentral:rRNA from 1 species
UGACAGUACUCCUACGGGGAGGCAGCAGUGGGGGAAUAUUGCACAAUGGGCGCAAGCCUGAUGCAGCCAUGCCGCGUGUAUGAAGAAGGCCUUCGGGUUGUAAAGUACUUUCAGCAGUGAGGAAGGUGGUAGUGUUAAUAGCACUAUCAUUUGACGUUAGCUGCAGAAGAAGCACCGGCUAACUCCGUGCCAGCAGCCGCGGUAAUACGGAGGGUGCGAGCGUUAAUCGGAAUUACUGGGCGUAAAGCGCAUGCAGGUGGUUUGUUAAGUCAGAUGUGAAAGACCCGGGGCUCAACCUCGGAAUUGCAUUUGAAACUGGCAGACUAGAGUACUGUAGAGGGGGGUAGGAAUUUCAGGUGUAGCGGUGAAAUGCGUAGAGAUCUGAAGGAAUACCGGUGGCGAAGGCGGCCCCCUCGGACAGAUACUGACACUCAGAUGCGAAAGCGUGGGGAGCAAACAGGAUUAGAUACCCUGGUAG